rnacentral:rRNA from 1 species
AGCAGCCGCGGUAAUUCCAGCUCCAAUAGCGUAUAUUAAAGUUGUUGCAGUUAAAAAGCUCGUAGUUGAAUUUCGGGAUCAGUACGCUGGUCGUGCCUUUGGUAUGUACUGGUGUCACUGAUUCCUCCCUUCUGAAGAACCGUUAUGCCAUUUAUUUGGUGUGGCGGGGAAUCAGGACUGUUACUUUGAAAAAAUUAGAGUGUUUAAAGCAGGCUCGCGCUUGAAUACGUUAGCAUGGAAUAAUGAAAUAGGACGUUUGGUCUUAUUUUGUUGGUUUCUAGGAUCGACGUAAUGAUUAAUAGGGAUAGUUGGGGGCAUUAGUAUUCAAUUGUCAGAGGUGAAAUUCUUGGAUUUAUUGAAGACUAACUACUGCGAAAGCAUUUGCCAAGGAUGUUUUCAUUAAUCAAGAACGAAAGUUAGGGGAUCGAAGACGAUCAGAUACCGUCGUAGUCUUAACCAUAAACUAUGCCGACUAGGGAUCGGAUGAUGUUAUUUUUAAUGACUCAUUCGGCGCCUUAAC